CCCUUAGAUGUUCUGGGCCGCACGCGUGCUGCACUGAGUGGAUCAGCGGGUCAGGUUGCGCGAAAGUGUUUCCUAAUCUUUAAAUCCGCUCGUGAUGGGGAUUGACGGUUGCAAUUUUCCGUCAUGAACGAGGAAUACCUUGUAAGCGCGGGUCAUCAUCCCGCGCUGAAUACGUCCCUGCCCUUUGUACACACCGCCCGUCGCUCCUACCGAUUGGGUGGUCCGGUGAGGCUUUGGGAUCUGAGCGGAAAGAGCGUUUCGCUGUUUCUGCCCGGAAAACUCAGUCGAACCUUAUCAUUUAGAGGAAGGAGAAGUCGUAACA
rnacentral:rRNA from 1 species